rnacentral:rRNA from 1 species
UACGGAGGGUGCAAGCGUUAUCCGGAUUUACUGGGUUUAAAGGGUGUGUAGGCGGACUUUUAAGUCAGCGGUGAAAUCUCCGGGCUCAACCCGGAAACUGCCAUUGAUACUAUUUGUCUUGAAUGUUGUUGAGGUGGGCGGAACGGGUCAUGUAGCGGUGAAAUGCAUAGAUAUGACCCGGAACACCGAUUGCGUAGGCAGCUAACUAGGCUGUAACUGACGCUGAGGCACGAAAGCGUGGGGAGCGAACAGG